UACGUAGGGUGCAAGCGUUGUCCGGAAUUAUUGGGCGUAAAGAGCUCGUAGGCGGUCUGUCGCGUCGGCUGUGAAAACUCGGGGCUCAACCCCGAGCCUGCAGUCGAUACGGGCAGACUAGAGUGCUGUAGGGGAGACUGGAAUUCCUGGUGUAGCGGUGAAAUGCGCAGAUAUCAGGAGGAACACCGGUGGCGAAGGCGGGUCUCUGGGCAGUAACUGACGUGAGGAGCGAAAAGCGUGGGGGAGCGAACAGG
rnacentral:rRNA from 1 species